ACCUUGGUAGCCCAGUUGGUGGUGGCGUCGGCAGUACAGAUGCAGAAGGUCGCAGGUUCAAAUCCUGCCUACGGUG